AAGGGAAGUCCGGUGAGAACCCGGCGCGGACCCGCCACUGUGAGCGCGAAGACCCGCCGCACGCACGCGUGCAGCCACUGGGAUCCGUCCCGGGAAGGCGCGGCGGCUCGGACGCGCGAGCCAGGAGACCU
rnacentral:ncRNA from 1 species